rnacentral:misc_RNA from 1 species
CACCUGUCACACAUGACACUCCUACUGCUGCUGUAGUGCUCUGAUCACAUUUAGUCUCUCUUCAGUGUAUUUAAUUAUCCUUGAUAUGGCUGAAGACUAAAAGGCUGUGAGGUUGCAUGUAUAGUGAGUGGCUGUGGCGGGUCAGUAGUGAGAGGGAUGUAGUGUUGGUGGCAGUGAGGUGAUGGUGAUGUUGGCCAGACUGACCAGUGUGCUCUGGGGUCGAGGGGACCCGGACCCCACUGAGGAUCCCCACCCAGAAGACUGUAGCAGGGGACUCACCCGGCGACAGUCAGUCUACUCUCAAAGACUGCGCAGAUGGUUUCACCCCAAUGUAACUGGAGUGGAAGCAGAGAAUCUGCUGAAGGAGAGAGGCUUCGAUGGCUCCUUCCUGGCCCGACCCAGCCGCAGCAACCCAGGAGACUUCACACUCUCUGUCAGACGUAAUGGGGAAGUGACACAUAUCAAGAUCCAGAACACGGGUGAUUUCUAUGACCUGUAUGGCGGGGAGAAGUUUGCCACGUUGUCCGAGUUGGUACAGUUCUACAUGGAAAACCAGGGACAGCUCAAGGAGAAAAAAGGAGAGGUGAUAGAGCUCAAGUACCCCCUCAACUGUGCUGACCCCACCACUGAGAGGUGGUUCCACGGACACUUGUCGGGCAAGGAGGCCGAGAAAUUGAUACUGGAGAAAGGCAAGAACGGCAGUUUCCUGGUACGAGAAUCUCAGAGUAAACCCGGCGACUAUGUGCUGUCCGUGCGCACUGACGACAAGGUCACCCAUGUCAUGAUUCGCUGUCAGGACAACACAUAUGAUGUAGGAGGUGGUGAGAAAUUUGACAGCUUGUCGGAAUUGAUAGAGCAUUACAAACGCAAUCCAAUGGUGGAAACGAGUGGUACUGUUGUGCACCUCAAGCAACCCUUUAAUGCAACACGCAUCAACGCCAGCGGCAUUGACCAUCGCGUCAAAGAACUGCAGAAAGAAAAUGCACAAUUAACUGGAAAAGCAGGAUUCUGGGAAGAGUUUGAGUCUUUGCAGCAGCAGGAAUGUAAGCAUCUUCUAUCCCGGAAAGAGGGACAAAAACCAGAGAACAGAAAUAAGAACAGAUACAAGAAUAUUUUGCCCUUUGAUCACACAAGGGUAAAAUUAAAAGAUGUUGAUCCCAGUGUGCCUGGCUCAGAGUAUAUCAAUGCAAAUUACAUCAAGACGGAAGAGGAUGGAGACUGGCCUGUACGUACAUAUCUAGCAACACAGGGAUGUCUGCCUACUACAGCCUCUCACUUCUGGCUCAUGGUUGUACAGGAGAACACUAGAGUCAUUGUGAUGACCACCAAAGAGAUGGAGAGGGGCAAGAACAAAUGUGCGAGGUACUGGCCAGAGGAAGGAGAGACGAAAGAGUUUGACAAAGUCACAGUGAAGAACAUGUCACAGGCAUCUACUACCGACUAUACCCUACGAGAGUUCCUAGUCUCCUACAAGGACGAGGACAGGAUAGUCUACCACUACCACUUCCAGGCGUGGCCAGACCAUGGAGUACCAGCAGACCCAGGCUGUGUGCUGAACUUUCUGCAUGAUGUGAAUGCACGUCAGGAAAGCAUCAUCGGUGCCGGUCCAGUCUUGGUACACUGCAGUGCCGGGAUAGGCAGAACUGGUACCUUCAUCGUCAUUGAUAUGAUCCUCGACCAGAUCAAGCGACAAGGUCUGGACUGUGAGAUCGAUAUCCAGCGGACGAUACAGAUGGUGCGCUCACAGAGGUCUGGAAUGGUGCAGACAGAGGCUCAGUACAAGUUUGUGUAUCUGGCCGUGCAACAUUACAUACAGACUGUCUCACAGAGGAUGCAGGCAGAACAAAAAAGCUUGCAGCUGGGCAGAGAGUACACCAACAUUCGGUACAGUAACGAAGUGAGCACGUCACCGACAAUGACUCUGUCUCGCUCCACAACGUCGCUCACAUCCACACCUGUCAGCUGCCGCACACCCAGUCGAGCAUCGUCUGACAUCCACUUGCCAAGGAAAGGUUCAAUAUUCUUGGAGUUUCUGUUAGAAGUCUGAUCAUUGUUUUUGUAUCCUACGCUUCACACUGCCAUCCAGAGUCCUUUAUUUUCUCAUUCAUGAAAAAACCCCCAGAAGAAGAAAUUCCAAAACAAAUCUACGAGAACAUCCCACUGAUGGAGAGGAAGUUGUCGGCCACCAGCUACAUUGGGCCUCCCCCACCUAGCCUGGCGCCUCCACCACCUCCCCCACCAAGGAAAACGUGACCCUCA